CAGCUCACUUCCGACAAAGCACUCAGCACUGCCGCUGCCCGCUGCCUUCAUGCUCCUAAUCCUCCUGUGCUCUGGCUAGAGGCCGACUACAAGUAUAAAUGGAGCGAGAGUGAUCACAAAGUGAGGGCUGGCUGCCGGAGACCAGGAGGAAAACGGACAAAGAUCAAAGUUUGUUUUAAAUGUUAUUGUCAGAGAAUGUCCUAAUUCCAUAUAAACAUCAUCAGGAGGGACGUCAGGUAUAGGUCUGUCUGCAGCCAUAUUGGGACUGCCAUGGCGCCCAGGUCACGACGGAAAUGUUUUUCUGCUUUUCCUGUUUGAAUUAAUUUACUAACAAUUUUAUAUAUAUAUAUAUAUAUAUCACCAGCAUAUGCAGUUGUACUUUAUAUUUGGGCACAAAGUAAUAAAACAAGGCUUGAUGUGAUGUCCUCGGCCCCGCCCCCAAGAGCUGCUGCAUCGCCUCUUUCCUCUGAGGGUCAGUGUACCUGUGAGAUGUGUUUGCCCCUGGAACGGCGCACGCAAAGCAAGUCCGUGAGGGAACGUGCUUCUACUAAUUUGGGUCAUAUGUGGUUAAACAUACAAAAUUACACCCCAAAAUAAAAUAAAAACUUGUGUCAACA